rnacentral:rRNA from 1 species
ACGCUCGACACCUACGGGGGCAGCAGUGGGGAAUAUUGCACAAUGGGGGAAACCUUGAUGCAGCGACGCCGCGUGAGUGAAGAAGUAUUUCGGUAUGUAAAGCUCUAUCAGCAGGGAAGAGAAUGACGGUACCUGACUAAGAAGCCCCGGCUAACUACGUGCCAGCAGCCGCGGUAAUCUGAGCGGGCUGGCAAGGC